rnacentral:rRNA from 1 species
GAUGAACGCUGGCGGUAUGCUUAACACAUGCCAGUCGAACGGGGUGCAUAGUCACCUAGUGGCGGACGGGUGAGUAACGCGUGAGAAUCUGGCCUCAGGUCCGGGACAACCACGGGAAACGGUGGCUAAUACCGGAUGUGCCAUAUUGGUGAAAGAUUAAUUGCCUGAGGAUGAGCUCGCGUCUGAUUAGCUAGUUGGUGGGGUAAAGGCUUACCAAGGCGACGAUCAGUAACUGGUCUGAGAGGAUGACCAGUCACACUGGGACUGAGACACGGCCCAGACUCCUACGGGAGGCAGCAGUGGGGAAUUUUCCGCAAUGGGCGAAAGCCUGACGGAGCAAUACCGCGUGAGGGAGGAAGGCUCUUGGGUUGUAAACCUCUUUUCUCAGGGAAGAAGAAUGACGGUACCUGAGGAAUCAGCAUCGGCUAACUCCGUG